GCACGUUGCUCUAACUUGGAGGCUUUAGGACCCAGCGAGGUACCAAUACGGAGCUUAUCUCCGCUUCUUUCGCCCAUGCCCCAUCGCCACCAGGAACCAAGCAAUGUUUACAGUCAUGCGUUGCAGUCACUCUUGUUUUAUUCUGCACUUAAUGCUACUUUGUUCGUUUGCUAACGGACAAUAUGAAUCCGCGUGGAGCGACAGGUCGUUUGUGGUCCUGCAAACCCAGAACUUAGCCAUGCUACUGAGCGUGCUCUUUGUGCUUUUGUUCGUGAUGAUCGUCUUGGCUGUCUUUGUCUACAAACCUUUGCGCCAUCGGUGAACUAUGCGGCGACACCGGUUCAGUGAGCGGUCAUGGAAUCCUGUCAACCCAGUGUCGAGGACUUCAGAGACAGAGACGUCUUCUGCGAACAUCAUUUCCGACAGCCAAGAUAUCAUCUCCCUGGAUUUCAGGAAACCACGAACACCCCUUGACACCCCACGUGACCAAUUUCUACGAAAAGUUAAAUAGCCCCCUCUAUUUGAAUACAUCGACGUGUAGGCCUAUGCCAUUAGUCCUUUAAUUGCGUUACGAUUUAUAUUUAUGACCCUUGUUGCAGGUCCUUGCUUCAGCCUAUAGAACGAUGAGGGGAAUUACAACGAACUACGUUAAUACUUGGAGCACAAUGUUACAGUUGUUAAAAGGCGAGAUCAUGCCAAUAGCCUCGUCGUAAGUGAUCGGGCCUAUGCCAUGGUUCAGAAACGCUCGUUUUCCACCCUCCCUUUACCUGGGAGUAGGGCUAAUUAGUAAUUGUGGAUAAGAGCAUCUGCAAAAAAUAUAAUGCAGUGAGACUGCCCGGAUUGUGGUUGUACGCAAAGCGGUUGUGCGAGGACCAUCUGUCGCCUAAUUAUGUUAACAUUUUAUUUUCUGUUACUGAUCUUCUGUCCUACUGGUGUUUGAUUGUAAAGUGGGUAUGGACCCUUUUUCUUAACUGGAUCAAAAGCUGCUGUUUGCCUGACACUCCUAAUGCACUUUAUUAUUAUUUUUAUAUGGUAUUUAUUUUCAAUAUUCUAUUUAAUUAACAUUUAGGGGAUCAGUUGAAGUAUUUAUUUUAACAAUCAGGUAUAUUAUUUAUUGAUUAUAUUUCUUUGGAUGUCCUACUGUACCAUCUAUUUAAGGGAGUUUCCUUGCCACUGUUGAGCUUGGCUUGUUCUUGUCGGGGUUUAGGCGUUUUCUGUGAGGCGUGUUUGUGAAAUGCGCUUUACAAAUAAAUGAUUUGAUUUGAAAAUAAACAAAAUGAAAUAAAAUAUCAGUGUAAAUUGUG